rnacentral:rRNA from 1 species
UACAGAGGUCUCAAGCGUUGUUCGGAUUCAUUGGGCGUAAAGGGUGCGUAGGCGGCGCGGUAAGUCGGGUGUGAAAUCUCGGGGCUUAACUCCGAAACUGCAUUCGAUACUGCCGUGCUUGAGGACUGGAGAGGAGACUGGAAUUCACGGUGUAGCAGUGAAAUGCGUAGAUAUCGUGAGGAAGACCAGUGGCGAAGGCGGCAUCCUGGACCAAUACUGACACUGAGGAGCGAAAGCCAGGGGAGCAAACGGG